rnacentral:rRNA from 1 species
UGGCUCAGAUUGAACGCUGGCGGCAGGCCUAACACAUGCAAGUCGAACGGUAACAGGAAGCAGCUUGCUGCUUCGCUGACGAGUGGCGGACGGGUGAGUAAUGUCUGGGAAACUGCCUGAUGGAGGGGGAUAACUACUGGAAACGGUGGCUAAUACCGCAUAACGUCGCAAGACCAAAGAGGGGGACCUUCGGGCCUCUUGCCAUCAGAUGUGCCCAGAUGGGAUUAGCUUGUUGGUGAGGUAACGGCUCACCAAGGCGACGAUCCCUAGCUGGUCUGAGAGGAUGACCAGCCACACUGGAACUGAGACACGGUCCAGACUCCUACGGGAGGCAGCAGUGGGGAAUAUUGCACAAUGGGCGCAAGCCUGAUGCAGCCA